rnacentral:rRNA from 1 species
UUGGACAAUGGGCGCAAGCCUGAUCCAGCAAUGCCGCGUGAGUGAAGAAGGCCUUCGGGUUGUAAAGCUCUUUCAGUCGAGAAGAAAAGAUUACUGAUAAUACCAGUAAUCCAUGACGGUAUCGACAGAAGAAGCACCGGCUAACUACGUGCCAGCAGCCGCGGUAAUAAGGGC